CUCUUCCCACUCAUAUUAAUUCUUUUUAAUUUUAAUAACUUUUUUAUACAUAACAACGCAUAAAUUUUUUGUCUAUGUAUCCCAUAAGCCAUAAACCUGCCGAAUAAUGGAUGAUCGUGUCGGUACCUAUCAACGCACACGUCGGAAAUUCGCGGCCAUUGUCUAUCUGAUAACCUUCUGCUGGCUCCUGCUGGGUCUGGCCCAGUGGCUGGUCGUGCUUUUAGUUUCUUCGGCCAAAAAUGCGUUCUUAAGCUAUCAUUAUAUGAGUAUCGUAUGCUUCACACUAUCAAUUACAUUGGCGCUUCUCUUCAUAUUCUUCGAGGCAGCUCGCUUUGUCACAUGUGUGAAUUGGCUUAUAACCAUUCUAAUCGUACAGUUCGCCGUUAUGGGCCUGUUUGCGCUGGUCGCCAACUCUUCUUGGCCGGAACUAAUCAUGUGGUUUGCGAUUUGCGUCCUGCUGCUCUUUAUCUUCGUACUAUUGGGCUCUGUAAUACCGCACGAUCUGACGCUGGAUGUUGUUAUAUUGUUUGUGAUAUCCUUUGUCUUCCUCAUUGUGUCGGUCUUCCUGAUUAUGCUGCACCUACUGACGCUUACAGCUCACUCCUUUGUCCUCUACCAGCUAUUUGUUAGCGUCAUCAUUUUGACGUUUGUCAUGUACCACGCGCAGACUAUUAACGGCGGCCGCUUUGCGGAAAUGCGGGUCAAUGAUUAUCUUCUGGCCUCGAUCAUACUCUUCUACGAUUUUAGCGUCAUGUUUCUCUUGACAUUCUAUAUGCAGAUCCACUAUAAGAUCGCAACGAUUAGUCCGGCCGGAACAACGACGAAGGCUCCAGACGACAGAAACACCACAGCAAGCAACAACUCAACCCAGGUCCGAUUUUGUCCGAUAUCUAGCCGAAAUAACGUCCGAUUUUGGAAUGAUGAACCAUGUUGGACGCGUACUGAUCGCUAUUGUCGAAUGGCAUUACGUUUUUGGUUAGUCUUUUUAAAGGACAUUACAUUGAACACCUUAAGGACCAUUCUGAUGUCCUUUGGACAACAUGUAGUCCUUGUCCUGCCAACUUAGAGUAUGUAAUCAGAAGGACGAAAAUCCUUCAAGGAGCUGAGGAAAGGAGAUUUUUGGCGGGAGAGAUAAAUCGCUGUAGCUCGACCGUAUCCUUGCCAAUCAUGAUGUCCAUUGGCCAACCAGCCAUAACACGGCCGUAUCCUUGCGGAUCCUGACAAGUCGUGUGUCAAAUAAUUCGUAUGAACAAGGACCAAAAAGCUGUUCAAAGGACAACAAAAUCGUCCUUGCCGUUUCCGAUAUAUGGCUAAUUUUCUAAAAAGGACAUUUUUCAAUAAGCCACAACUCAGCCAAAUCCUUAAGGAUAUCGGAAGG